rnacentral:rRNA from 1 species
ACGGGGUGCAGCAGGCGCGAAAACUUGGCAAUGCGAGAAAUCGUGACCAGGGAACUCCAAGUGCAUCGGGUAAGACCGGUGCUUUUCUUGACUCUAAAUAGGUCUUGGAAUAAGGGGUGGGUAAGGACGGUGCCAGCCGCCGCGGUAAUACCGGCGCCUCAAGUGGUAGUCGCUUUUAUUGGGCCUAAAACGUCCGUAGCCGGUCUGAUACAUUCGUGGGUAAAUCAACCAGCUUAACUGGUUGAAUUCUGCGAGGACGGUCAGACUUGGGACCGGGAGAGGUGUGGGGUACGCUCAGGGUAGGGGUAAAAUCCUGUCAUCCUGAGCGGACCACCUGUUGCGAAGGCGCCACACUAGAACGGAUCCGACGGUCAGGGACGAAGCCUAGGGGCACGAACCGGAUUAGAUACCCGGGUAGUCCUAGGUGUAAACGCUGUGGA